CACUGUCGUAAACAGCAGUGAUAAUAUGCAUGCCUCUGUUUUUCUUCUACUUCAGCCAAUUUCGUACACAUACGAUGCAUUGCAAAGAAAGGAGAAUAUGAAUUUCACUUCAGGAUGCAGCUUCCUUGGUCCCUGUUUUUUGCACAUGAUCAGUUGAUCUUCUUUGAUGUAUCUUGGGUAACAGAGUUGUGGCUGGUGGUACUGUGGAGCGCUUCUAGAAGAUUUACGUGUAGCACCUGCUUCACUUGCUUCUGAGAAAGUCUUUGUUGCUAGAUGUCCACUCUCUCCCCCUGGAGCCGGCCAGAAUGGUGACAACCAGAGAGCCUGGGAAACCUCAUGCUGAAGUCCGUGGAGCUGCUGUCAGGCUGGCUCUGCCACUACCUGCAACUCUUUAGUUUAGCAGCCUAGUGUAAUGAGGUCAUAUGACAUUUUCUGUUUUCUUCCAAAAGUUUUCAAGUUUUCCUUUUCACAUCUAGAUUUUAAAUCUGCUUGGCCUUGGCUGUUAUGAUGGCCAUAAAUUAUAGAGUCUUUUUUCAAAUGAAUAAACAACUAUCCUGUUACCCA
rnacentral:lncRNA from 1 species